GGCCCGGUAGCUCAGUUGGUAGAGCAGAGGAUUGAAAAUCCUCGUGUCGGUGGUUCAAUUCCGCCCCGGGCCACCA
rnacentral:tRNA from 1 species